rnacentral:rRNA from 1 species
GUAAUGUCUGGGAAACUGCCUGAUGGAGGGGGAUAACUACUGGAAACGGUAGCUAAUACCGCAUGACCUCGCAAGAGCAAAGUGGGGGACCUUCGGGCCUCACGCCAUCGGAUGUGCCCAGAUGGGAUUAGCUAGUAGGUGAGGUAAUGGCUCACCUAGGCGACGAUCCCUAGCUGGUCUGAGAGGAUGACCAGCCACACUGGAACUGAGACACGGUCCAGACUCCUACGGGAGGCAGCAGUGGGGAAUAUUGCACAAUGGGCGCAAGCCUGAUGCAGCCAUGCCGCGUGUGUGAAGAAGGCCUUAGGGUUGUAAAGCACUUUCAGCGAGGAGGAAGGGUUCAGUGUUAAUAGCACUGUGCAUUGACGUUACUCGCAGAAGAAGCACCGGCUAACUCCGUGCCAGCAGCCGCGGUAAUACGGAGGGUGCAAGCGUUAAUCGGAAUUACUGGGCGUAAAGCGCACGCAGGCGGUUUGUUAAGUCAGAUGUGAAAUCCCCGAGCUUAACUUGGGAACUGCAUUUGAAACUGGCAAGCUAGAGUCUUGUAGAGGGGGGUAGAAUUCCAGGUGUAGCGGUGAAAUGCGUAGAGAUCUGGAGGAAUACCGGUGGCGAAGGCGGCCC